GACGACGACGUUGAUAGGCCGGGUGUGUAAGCGCAGCGAUGCGUUGAGCUAACCGGUACUAAUGAACCGUGAGGCUUAACCUUACAACGCCAAAG
rnacentral:rRNA from 2 species